rnacentral:tRNA from 1 species
GCCUCUGUGGCCUAAUGGAUAAGGCAUCGGUCUCCUAAAAAAAUUGACCAUGGUUUAUUUAGUUAACCGGGGAUUGCGGGUUCGAGUCCCGCCAGAGGCC